GGGCCGGUAGCUCAGCGGUCAGAGCAGGGGACUUUUAAUCCUCGUGUCCUGGGUUCGAAUCCCAGCCGGCUCA
rnacentral:tRNA from 1 species